rnacentral:misc_RNA from 1 species
GAUGAAGAACGCAGCGAAAUGCGAUACGUAAUGUGAAUUGCAGAAUUCAGUGAAUCAUCGAGUCUUUGAACGCACAUUGCGCCCCCUGGUAUUCCGGGGGGCAUGCCUGUCCGAGCGUCAUUGCUGCCCUCAAGCACGGCUUGUGUGUUGGGCCUCCGUCCUCCUCCCGGGGGACGGGCCCGAAAGGCAGCGGCGGCACCGCGUCCGGCCCUCGAGCGUAUGGGGCUUCGUCACCCGCUCUUGUAGGCCCGGCCGGCGCUUGCCGACACAUCAAUCUUUUUUCCAGGUUGACCUCGGAUCAGGUAGGGAUACCCGCUGAACUUAAGCAUAUCAAUAAGCGGAGGA